rnacentral:sRNA from 1 species
GGCUGGUCCGAUGGCAGUGGGUUAUCAGAACUUAUUAACAUUAGUGUCACUAAAACUUCACUAUCCACCACCCACUCUCUAACCCAGCCUCCA